GAUGAACGCUGGCGGCGUGCCUAAUACAUGCAAGUCGAGCGAACGGACGAGAAGCUUGCUUCUCUGAUGUUAGCGGCGGACGGGUGAGUAACACGUGGAUAACCUACCUAUAAGACUGGGAUAACUUCGGGAAACCGGAGCUAAUACCGGAUAAUAUUUUGAACCGCAUGGUUCAAAAGUGAAAGACGGUCUUGCUGUCACUUAUAGAUGGAUCCGCGCUGCAUUAGCUAGUUGGUAAGGUAACGGCUUACCAAGGCAACGAUGCAUAGCCGACCUGAGAGGGUGAUCGGCCACACUGGAACUGAGACACGGUCCAGACUCCUACGGGAGGCAGCAGUAGGGAAUCUUCCGCAAUGGGCGAAAGCCUGACGGAGCAACGCCGCGUGAGUGAUGAAGGUCUUCGGAUCGUAAAACUCUGUUAUUAGGGAAGAACAUAUGUGUAAGUAACUGUGCACAUCUUGACGGUACCUAAUCAGAAAGCCACGGCUAACUACGUGCCAGCAGCCGCGGUAAUACGUAGGUGGCAAGCGUUAUCCGGAAUUAUUGGGCGUAAAGCGCGCGUAGGCGGUUUUUUUAAGUCUGAUGUGAAAGCCCCACGGCUCAACCCGUGGAGGGUCAUUGGAAACGGGAAAACUUGAGUGCAGAAGAGGAAAGUGGAAUUCCAUGUGUAGCGGUGAAAUGCGCAGAGAUAUGGAGGAACACCAGUGGCGAAGGCGACUUUCUGGUCUGUAACUGACGCUGAUGUGCGAAAGCGUGGGGAUCAAACAGGAUUAGAUACCCUGGUAGUCCACGCCGUAAACGAUGAGUGCUAAGUGUUAGGGGGUUUCCGCCCCUUAGUGCUGCAGCUAACGCAUUAAGCACUCCGCCUGGGGAGUACGACCGCAAGGUUGAAACUCAAAGGAAUUGACGGGGACCCGCACAAGCGGUGGAGCAUGUGGUUUAAUUCGAAGCAACGCGAAGAACCUUACCAAAUCUUGACAUCCUUUGACAACUCUAGAGAUAGAGCCUUCCCCUUCGGGGGACAAAGUGACAGGUGGUGCAUGGUUGUCGUCAGCUCGUGUCGUGAGAUGUUGGGUUAAGUCCCGCAACGAGCGCAACCCUUAAGCUUAGUUGCCAUCAUUAAGUUGGGCACUCUAAGUUGACUGCCGGUGACAAACCGGAGGAAGGUGGGGAUGACGUCAAAUCAUCAUGCCCCUUAUGAUUUGGGCUACACACGUGCUACAAUGGACAAUACAAAGGGCAGCGAAACCGCGAGGUCAAGCAAAUCCCAUAAAGUUGUUCUCAGUUCGGAUUGUAGUCUGCAACUCGACUACAUGAAGCUGGAAUCGCUAGUAAUCGUAGAUCAGCAUGCUACGGUGAAUACGUUCCCGGGUCU
rnacentral:rRNA from 1 species